CUCCAGCUUAGGCAACAUAGUGAGACUCCAUCUCAAAAAAUAAAAUAAAUAAAUAACAUUAUGCUUUUAAAAUGGAGACAUAUAAAAUUGUGAGUGCUUUGCAGAGAGAAUUACUUAUCACCUCUAACAAAACUGCUAUUACAAUUUUAGUGAAUUUUUCCUCUAGUUGUUAUUUAAAGGAUACUUAUAUAUAGUUUGAAAAUCAGAGUAGAUGUUCCAUAUUUCCUUUAUGUUUUAUUUUGCUGUUAUUUGCCUAGCAUAUUCAGGGUACCAAAUUAAGUAUUGAUUGAUGGUAAUAGUGAUAACAUUAAGAUGUGGAGAUCAGGUUAAAGACAGAUAUGCACCAUGAAUCUAUAAUUGAAUAAGUCAGAAGGAAAUUUAAUUAGCCUUUUUCCUGUGUCCAUAGCAGUGCUUUAAUAAGAACAACAGAAAAGUCUUUUUUUUCCUUUAAAUUGCUAAUCCAGGAUGUUCUCGAUGUUUUUAUGGAAGUCAGCUAACUAAAUACCUUGAGAGAAUAGCAAUACCAUCAAAUUAUAUCUGUCUGUGACAUUUUCUCUAGGAUGGGACUAACAAAUUUGAUCUAUUUUUAAAAUAUGUAUUAACUCACACUUAUUUGCAUUACAACAAGGUUUUUGUCUUCUUAGCUCUUCUCUUUUUCAGGAAAUUACUCCAGGAUUUGAAUCAUCACAAGAGAUUAACCAGAGGGUUUUAUAUACUUGGGCUGUGGCAGCAGACUAAUUACACCACAGCACUAGUUCUAGAAGCUAGAAGUCCAAGAUCAAGAUGUUAGCAUGGUUGGUUUCUCCUAAGGACCAUGAAGGAAGGAUCUGUUCCAGGCCUCCGUCUUUGACUUGAAGAUAAAUGUCUUCUUCCUGUGUCUUCA